UGGCAGUUUGAUCUCUGGUUCCUCUGUCUUUUCUAAAUCCAGCUUGAACAUCUGGAAGUUCAUGCUUCAUGUACUGUUGAAACCUGGCUUGGAGAAUUUUGAGAAUUACUUUGCUAGCAUGUGAGAUCAGUGCAACUGUGUGGCAGUUUGAGCAUUCUUUGGCAUUGCCUUUCUUGGGAUUGGAAUGAAAACUGACCUUACAGUCCUGGGGCACUGUUGAGUUUUCCAAAUUUGCUGGCAUAUUGAGUGCAGCACUUUCACAGCUUCAUCUUUUAGGAUUUGAAUGAGCUCUACUGGAAUUCCAUCACCUCCACUAGCUUUGUUUGUAAUGAUGCUUCCUAAGGCCCACUUGACUUCACAUUCCAGGAUGUCUGGCUCUAGGUGAGUGAUCACACCAUCACAAUUAUCUGGGUUAUGCCCAGAUAAAUUUAUCUGGGAAUUUUAGGGUGGUGAUAUUUAUGUUCAUACCAGAAAUGGUAAUUUAAGACACAGGGAUAAGGGGUCAGAUAACAUGGAGAAAAGACAUGUCUUUUGCAGGUAUUACUAGCAGAGUGUUCUAGCAGAGGAAUUUGUUCUGCUAAGAGCUCUUACUAUAAUCUUUAUUUUCUCUUUAUUUAUAGGAAUUUUUGUUUGCUUCUUGGUUUGUUUUAUUUUCCCAGAGGUCAGGAUUCAAGAAUCAGAACGUGUCCUCCCUAGGACCUCUCAGAGAAGCACAGAGGCGAUUUCAGGAGACACUGCCUUGCUCACAUCCAAGAUACGGGUAGGUGGUUCUCUUUCUUUCCUCUCCCCGUAGAUUGAGGGGGAAACACUGAACAGAGUGUUAUCAAAUCAGAUGACUAGAGAUGACUGUUGGGUCCUGUGAGGUGAAGCCCACCUGGGACACACCGGUGUCAAGACUGUGUUUGCGGCUUAUUCCUCCCUGUGGAUUUUAGAGGGUAAGAGAGACCACUGACCUUGAUUUCUUUGUGCAGUUCUCCAUGGUAGAUCAUCUUUAGAAUACUUGCCUGUCC
rnacentral:lncRNA from 1 species